rnacentral:rRNA from 1 species
UACGUAGGUGGCAAGCGUUGUCCGGAUUUACUGGGCGUAAAGAGCGCGCAGGCGGUCGUUCAAGUCGCGUGUGAAAGCCCCCGGCUCAACUGGGGAGGGUCACGCGAUACUGAUCGACUCGAAGGCAGGAGAGGGAAGUGGAAUUCCCGGUGUAGUGGUGAAAUGCAUAGAUAUCUUCAAGAACACCGAUUGCGAAGGCAGCUUACUAAGCUUUAACUGACACUGAGGCACGAAAGCGUGGGGAGCAAACAGG